CAGGCGGACCGGAUGGUCGCCUCGCGCCGCGAACGCUGGCUUUGGCCAGGCCGCGCGGUGGCGGGGAGGAAAGUCCGAACUCCGCAGAGCAGUGUGCCGGAUAACGUCCGGGACGGCGGGCUCAAACCCGCUGGACGGAAAGUGCCACAGAAAACAUACCGCCCCGGCCGCAAGGCCGAGGUAAGGGUGAAAAGGUGCGGUAAGAGCGCACCGCCCGGCGAGCGAUCGACGGGGCAGGGCAAACCCCACACGGAGCAAGACCAAAUAGGGGAGGAAUGCGGGAGCAAUCCCGCUACGAGCCGGCUCGGCUCGUCAGCCCAGCACGGGCGCCCAGAAAUGGGCGGAACUUCCGGGUAGGUCGCUAGAGCGGCACAGCAAUGUGCCGCCCAGAGGAAUGACCGUCCUGCCGGUCUUCGGAGCGGCAGACAGAAUUCGGCUUACAGGUCCGUCCGUCAC
rnacentral:RNase_P_RNA from 1 species